GACGAACGCUGGCGGCGUGCUUAACACAUGCAAGUCGAACGGUGACGCACCAGCUUGCUGCUGUUGCUCAGUGCCGAACGGGUGCGUAACACGUGAGCAACCUGCCCCACACUCUCGAGUAAGCGCUGGAAACGGCGCCUAAUCCUGUAUCCGAGAUCACCCCGCGUUGAUAUCAUCUGGUCUUUGUUUCUGUCUGGGAUGGGCUCGCGGCCUAUCAGCUUGUUAGUGGGGUAGUGGAUCACCCACGCGACGGCCGAUCGCCGGCAUGGGAGGGGGACCGGGCACACGGGGACUGAGAGACGGCCCAGACUCCUACGGGAGGCAGCAGUGGGGAAUAUGGCACAACGGGCGAAAGCCUGAUGCAGCGACGCCGCGUGAGGGAUGACGGCUUUUGGGUUAAAAACCGCUUUCGGCAGGGACGAAGCGAAAGUGACGGUACCUGCAGAAGAAGCACCGGCUAACUACGUG
rnacentral:rRNA from 1 species